rnacentral:rRNA from 1 species
GACGAACGCUGGCGGCGUGCUUAACACAUGCAAGUCGAACGGAAAGGCCCUGCUUUUGUGGGGUGCUCGAGUGGCGAACGGGUGAGUAACACGUGAGUAACCUGCCCUUGACUUUGGGAUAACUUCAGGAAACUGGGGCUAAUACCGGAUAGGAGCUCCUGCUGCAUGGUGGGGGUUGGAAAGUUUCGGCGGUUGGGGAUGGACUCGCGGCUUAUCAGCUUGUUGGUGGGGUAGUGGCUUACCAAGGCUUUGACGGGUAGCCGGCCUGAGAGGGUGACCGGCCACAUUGGGACUGAGAUACGGCCCAGACUCCUACGGGAGGCAGCAGUGGGGAAUAUUGCACAAUGGGCGGAAGCCUGAUGCAGCAACGCCGCGUGCGGGAUGACGGCCUUCGGGUUGUAAACCGCCCUCGCCUGUGACGAAGCGUGAGUGACGGUAAUGGGUAAAGAAGCACCGGCUAACUACGUG